rnacentral:rRNA from 1 species
AUACGAAGGGUGCAAGCGUUACUCGGAAUUACUGGGCGUAAAGCGAGCGCAGGCGGCUUAUUAAGUCGGGUGUGAAAGCCCGGGGCUCAACCCCGGAACUGCAUUCGAAACUGAUAAGCUAGAGGAUGAGAGAGGAAAGUAGAAUUUCUGGUGUAGAGGUGAAAUUCGUUGAUAUCAGAAGGAAUACCCGUGGCGAAGGCGGCUUUCUGGCUCAUUUCUGACGCUGAGGCUCGAAAGUGUGGGUAGCAAACAGGAUUAGAUACCCUGGUAGUCCACACCGUAAACGAUGAAUGCUAGUCGACCGGUUCGUUUACCGACUGGGUGACGCAGUUAACGCAUUAAGCAUUCCGCCUGGGGAGUACGGUCGCAAGAUUAAAACUCGAAGGAAUUCGACGGGGCCCGCACAAGCGGUGGAGCAUGUGGUUUAAUUCGAAGCAACGCGCAG